rnacentral:lncRNA from 1 species
UCACUGGCAAAGUUAAACAAAAUCAACUAUAAAGGAAACCAAAUAAUCUUGCUUUGUUCUUGAUGGAUGACUUUUUCCUUGGCUCACUUAGCCUCAAUUUCUGAAAGUAAAACAUUUCUUAAUUUCGUAUUAAGUCAAUAGUACAUAUGGGGCAAUAGCUCUGUGUUAAAAACUCUUCACCUAGGAAACAGGCAUUCUUAGGUACUAUGACCUUGAUUGUUCUAUUCUUCUCUAGCAAUUUUCUGUGAUUUACCCCACCCCUUUUGUAAAUCAUCCUCUCUUCUUCCUACUACUAUCUCUUCCUAAAUCUCUUGACUCUGUAACUUUAUCAUUCUGCAGCUAUUAUUUUUCUCACCUGAAAUUGCUACUUCCCCUUUUUCUUACCGUACUUUACUUUUGGCCUCUCUUUCUACUUGGAUAGUUGGUUAAGCAACCCUGUUCCCCCAUGAUUUCACAGGCUGGUUCUGCCUAUUCAUUCAAACAAUUUGAGAUGCUGUCUGAGGUCAUGAAAGCUUGGCCCUGCUUGGAGAAACUUCCAUUCUUCUAUUCAUCUGGCCAAAUUCCUUUCUACAUGUGAAAUGCAGUAUGAAUUUUGCCUCCUGAUGAAAAGUAGAAAAAGGUACCCAUGGAUCCUGAAGUUUUGGCAUGCUAAAAACACCAGUUACUCACCUUCAGGCAAAUGAAGACCAACCCAUCAAGGACACAUUUCUAGAGAUUAUGGCUUUGUUUUGAAACCUUUUCAGUGAUAUCUCCUGAUGAUUUUAGAAGUUUUCU